rnacentral:rRNA from 1 species
GGGGUUCUUAAUUAGAGUUUGAUCCUAGCUCAGGAUGAACGCUGGCGGCGUGGAUAAGGCAUGCAAGUCGAACGGCCGCAUCACAUGGAAUGUGAUGGGAAAUUCCAAAUUACAAAUCCCAAAUCACAAACAAAUCACAAAUUCAAAUCUCAAACGACUUUCUGAAGUCGUUCCCGCGCAGGCGGAAAUCCAGUUUAAUCUGGUUCCCCGUUUACAUGGGGAUGACAUUAAGAAAUGUCAUUUCGGGCUUUUGAUAUUAUGUAUUGUUUGGGAUUUGGUGCUUUGGUUUUGGGAUUUCCGCAUCGCAUUUCGCGCGAUGCGGCAGUGGCAGACGAGGUAGUAAUAAGCAGGUAACGUACCCUAGAGUCAGGCAUAGCUCAUCGAAAGGUGGGGUAAUUCCUGAUAGCCCCGCCUAACUUUCAGUACUGCAAUUUUUCGUCGGGCAGUCUCUCGCGCAACGGGAGAUAACUAAAACGAGAUUUUGAGUUUUGAAAGUUGGGCGGGUAAAGUCGCAAGACGCUCUGGAAGCGGCCUGUUCGGUAUCAGCUAGUUGGCAGGGUAAAAGCCUACCAAGGCUAUGACGCCUAGGGGACCUGAGAGGGUGACCCCCACCGAUGGAACUGAGAUAAACGCUCGCUAGAUAUGAUUUUUUUGUGCAGAAUGCUUCAGCAAUCGGAAAUUAUAGUCGCUUCGUUUACGAAAAAUUGAAAACUCGCCGCGAUUACGCGGCUCAAACAGUUCAAUUUUUCUACGAAGCUUCUUAAUUUCCAAAUUGCUUCUCGCAAUGCUCAAAAAAAUCAUAUCUAGCUCGCUACGGUUGAUAAAAAACCAAGUGAAAAAGAGCAACUGUUUCCUUGCGGAGUAAUCCGCAAGUAAAAUCCAACUCAUAACGGUGGAAUCUGCCGAAAGGCAGACAAUACCGUGGGAAGUUCCACUUUACUUAAGUAAAGUGGAACCCCGUAACGACUCUUUGUAAGGAAACGAAGGAGUUAUCGCAACGCAAUUAAGAGCUAAAGCGGUAGCUAACAUGUUGGCCCCGAAAUAACUCUCUACAAGAUUAUUUCGGGUGAAGGUAUAGUCUGAUACUCUGAGUGAUCGGAGAAAACACUAUGACGGUCCAUACACCUACGGGUGGCUGCAGCCGAGAAUAUUCGACAAUGGGCGAAAGCCUGA